AAGGAGCAAGUGGACACAGCCUGCCUCCCAUAAGCUGUCUGGCUCACUCAUUUUAUUCCUGGAAAUCAUCAGAAGUCAAUCAUUUCCUGAGAAAUGAGGAAAAAGAUGGAGGUCGCAGAGACCAAUAAGAGCAAGGAGGGAGAGAAAAAGCUGAACAUGAAACUCGAGGAAGAAACAGAAUAUGCAGAGGAAGAGAAACAACUGGAAGGAUAAGCUGCAUACCCUCAGAUUUCUUUCUUUUUUUCCCCAGAGGGUGAUAAGAACAUUUGGUAUCUUCUGUGCAACCCCUGUUCUUCUUUUCCUUCUUUCAACACUCAUACCCUCUUCAUUACACGGUCUGUGUUACUUGAACCCUUCUAAAUAAUUUUCUGAACUACAUCUUUAAUUGCAAGACACCCCCAAAACCAUAAGAGUAGGAAAGAGUAGAAACAACUAAGAUGAAAUAAACCCAUCAGGUCUUUAUCUAUUUCCUACCCAAUUACGAAAAGCAAAGGAGAAAAACAAAAUAACUCUGAGA
rnacentral:lncRNA from 1 species